GCGCGCUUAGUUCAGCUGGCUAGAACGCUGCUUUCACACGGCAGAGGUCGUUGGUUCGAGUCCAACAGCGCGCACCA
rnacentral:tRNA from 1 species